rnacentral:rRNA from 1 species
AAAGGAGAAGCUGGCUGCUGUGCUGAUACAUGCAGUCGAGCGAAUGGUUAAGAGCUUGCUCUUAUGAAGUUAGCGGCGGACGGGUGAGUAACACGUGGGUAACCUGCCAUAAGACUGGGAUAACUCCGGGAAACCGGGGCUAAUACCGGAUAACAUUUUGAACCGCAUGGUUCGAAAUUGAAAGGCGGCUUUGGCUGUCACUUAUGGAUGGACCCGCGUCGCAUUAGCUAGUUGGUGAGGUAACGGCUCACCAAGGCAACGAUGCGUAGCCGACCUGAGAGGGUGAUCGGCCACACUGGGACUGAGACACGGCCCAGACUCCUACGGGAGGCAGUAGUAGGGAAUCUUCCGCAAUGGACGAAAGUCUGACGGAGCAACGCCGCGUGAGUGAUGAAGGCUUUCGGGUCGUAAAACUCUGUUGUUAGGGAAGAACAAGUGCUAGUUGAAUAAGCUGGCACCUUGACGGUACCUAACCAGAAAGCCACGGCUAACUACGUGCCAGCAGCCGCGGUAAUACGUAGGUGGCAAGCGUUAUCCGGAAUUAUUGGGCGUAAAGCGCGCGCAGGCGGUUUCUUAAGUCUGAUGUGAAAGCCCCACGGCUCAACCCGUGGAGGGUCAUUGGAAACUGGGAGACUUGAGUGCAGAGAGGAAAGUGGAAUUCCAUGUGUAGCGGUGAAAUGCGUAGAGAUAUGGAGGACACCAGUGCGAAGGCGACUUUCUGGUCUGUACUGACACUGAGCGCGAAGCGUGGGAGCAAACAGAUAGAUACCCUGUAGUCCACGCCGUAACGAUGAGUGCUAGUGUAGAGGG